UACGUAGGGCGCGAGCGUUGUCCGGAAUUAUUGGGCGUAAAGAGCGUGUAGGCGGCCAUACAGGUCAGCUGUGAAAACUCGAGGCUCAACCUCGAGACGUCGGUUGAAACCGUAUGGCUAGAGUCCGGAAGAGGAGAGUGGAAUUCCCGGUGUAGCGGUGAAAUGCGCAGAUAUCGGGAAGAACACCUAUGGCGAAGGCAGCUCUCUGGGACGGUACUGACGCUGAGACGCGAAAGCGUGGGGAGCAAACAGG
rnacentral:rRNA from 1 species